rnacentral:lncRNA from 1 species
ACAACUCAUUCUUCUAAAACCAUAUAAGUAGGAAAAAGUUUUAAUACAACAUACAAAAGUUACGAAAAUUAGAUAUUUUAUUUAUAGUUUAAUCACAAGAGCAAUUUUCUUGUUCUCCAAGACGUAAAUACAUACUAGAAUAAACUCUGUGGAAUAUACAAAAAAUACAUAUUUUUCCCAUGAAAUUUUCUUUAUAAUAAAUAGAAAGGAACACGUGUGUGGCUGAUCCCAAUAAUGCUCCGUGUCUGCUUAGGUUCUCAGUCUGUUGAUUUAUUUUUAGUCCCUUGAAAGAAUGGGGAAGUUCCUUCUCCCCUAAAAGGUCGAGAUAAAUAAUGCAUGAAGCCAAUCCUCCCUCCUGAUUUUUCCCUUUUCCUCCACAUUUUUCCUUUUGAUAGAGAGUUCAGCCUAAAUUUCCACGCUUGCAUUCAGUCAUUACAAAGCCUACAAAUUAUACAAUGACUUCUAACCUGGUCCUCUAACAAAACAACUUUUUCCCCUUAUAAAUCAUAAGAGACAGAUGGCAAAAUGGAGAAGAAAAAGGAAAGAGAAGGACGGGACAAUAGGCAUUGUGACGAAUCUGGGAAACAGAACAAAGUGCACAUCAGAGGGAAGUUUGGUUUGACAGGUGAAAUUCCCACAGCCCGCAGACAGCAAUGGGAAGAAAGCAGAUGCCAGCCAUUGCAAAUCUGUGGAUAAUAUUAUUACCGAUAAAAUCAUUCAGAUGCUAAGAUAACGUUUCUUUCUACUCGACAUUAACAUCUCUAUGUAGAAGCAAAGUUGGAGAGAUCACAGGAACCAGUUGCAUUCCCCCUGGGAGAGUCACACGAACUGCUCCGAGUCCUCUGGCGUUACAGAGAGGGGAGGAACGUCAGGCCCCACUGCAAACUCUUCAGACAUGCCACCUUCAUCUCUUCCCAGCAUCCUUUUAGCCGUAAGAAGCGCCCCCCAAACUCCACCAUCCUCUUUGACAAUAAGCUCCAUCACGCCUUCAAUAAAUUAGAGCCCGUCUGAAGGAAGGAAACCCUUAGCCAAGGAAGGCAACAACCGAGGAAUCAGAACGGCUACAUCUGCUCUGUGAAUUGCAGUGCCGUUUUCUGGAGUGCUUUCCUAAAGACUUAUUUCAUUGGAUACCUGAUGAAAACCAAGGAAAUAGGAGCUGCUUCUUGCAGAAGGGAAGCAGACCUACAGUGAGUCAGGCACUGUACCAGGUAGAAGCGUCCCUGCUGUCUCCUUUUCCUCUGCCCUGCUGCUUGGAACAUGGUAUGACAUUUGGAUCUCUAUCUUGGCUCAUGAGGAAGAAGAGCACAGUCUGGAGACGGUGGAGCAGAGAUGCUGUGCCAGCUCUCCACUGCUUCUUUCCAAAUUUGUGUGCA